GUCCCAGUUCGAAUUGCAGGCUGCAACCCGCCUGUAUGAAGUUGGAAUCGCUAGUAAUCGCGGAUCAGCAUGCGCGGUGAAUACGUUCCCGGGCCUUGUACACACCGCCCGUCACACCAUGGGAGUCAGCAACGCCCGAAGUCAGUGACCUAACCGAGAGGAAGGAGCUGCCGAAGGCGGGGCAGGUAACUGGGGUGAAGUCGUAACAAGGUACC
rnacentral:rRNA from 1 species